AAUCCAUAGGUUAAUGAGGCGAACCGGGGGAACUGAAACAUCUAAGUACCCCGAGGAAAAGAAAUCAACCGAGAUUCCCCCAGUAGCGGCGAGCGAACGGGGAGGAGCCCAGAGCCUGAAUCAGCAUGUGUGUUAGUGGAAGCGUCUGGAAAGGCGCGCGAUACAGGGUGACAGCCCCGUACACAAAAGCGCAUGUGCUGUGAGCUCGAUGAGUAGGGCGGGACACGUGGUAUCCUGUCUGAAUAUGGGGGGACCAUCCUCCAAGGCUAAAUACUCCUGACUGACCGAUAGUGAACCAGUACCGUGAGGGAAAGGCGAAAAGAACCCCGGCGAGGGGAGUGAAAAAGAACCUGAAACCGUGUACGUACAAGCAGUGGGAGCACAGGUUUACCUGUGUGACUGCGUACCUUUUGUAUAAUGGGUCAGCGACUUAUAUUCUGUAGCAAGGUUAACCGAAUAGGGGAGCCGGAGGGAAACCGAGUCUUAAUUGGGCGUUAAGUUGCAGGGUAUAGACCCGAAACCCGGUGAUCUAGCCAUGGGCAGGUUGAAGGUUGGGUAACACUAACUGGAGGACCGAACCGACUAAUGUUGAAAAAUUAGCGGAUGACCUGUGGCUGGGGGUGAAAGGCCAAUCAAACCGGGAGAUAGCUGGUUCUCCCCGAAAGCUAUUUAGGUAGCGCCUCGUGAAUUCAUCUCCGGGGGUAGAGCACUGUUUCGGCUAGGGGGCCAUCCCGGCUUACCAACCCGAUGCAAACUGCGAAUACCGGAGAAUGUUAUCACGGGAGACACACGGCGGGUGCUAACGUCCGUCGUGAAGAGGGAAACAACCCAGACCGCCAGCUAAGGUCCCAAAGUCAUGGUUAAGUGGGAAACGAUGUGGGAAGGCCCAGACAGCCAGGAUGUUGGCUUAGAAGCAGCCAUCAUUUAAAGAAAGCGUAAUAGCUCACUGGUCGAGUCGGCCUGCGCGGAAGAUGUAACGGGGCUAAACCAUGCACCGAAGCUGCGGCAGCGAACGUAUCACCCAAGACAACUUUACGGAGUUGACGAUUGACGGAGCGAAGCGACGUCAAAGCGUUCAUUAAAGUCGAGUUGGCUUA
rnacentral:rRNA from 2 species